rnacentral:rRNA from 1 species
AUUGAACGCUGGCGGAAUGCUUUACACAUGCAAGUCGAACGGUAGAGGGGGCAACCCCUCGAGAGUGGCGAACGGGUGAGUAAAGUAUCGGAACGUGCCCAGUCGUGGGGGAUAACGUAGCGAAAGUUACGCUAAUACCGCAUACGAUCUAUGGAUGAAAGCGGGGGAUCGCAAGACCUCGCGCGAUUGGAGCGGCCGAUAUCAGAUUAGGUAGUUGGUGGGGUAAAGGCCCACCAAGCCAACGAUCUGUAGCUGGUCUGAGAGGACGACCAGCCACACUGGAACUGAGACACGGUCCAGACUCCUACGGGAGGCAGCAGUGGGGAAUUUUGGACAAUGGGCGAAAGCCUGAUCCAGCCAUUCCGCGUGCAGGAUGAAGGCCCUCGGGUUGUAAACUGCUUUUGUACAGAACGAAAAGGUUUCUACUAAUACUAGGAGCUCAUGACGGUACUGUAAGAAUAAGCACCGGCUAACUACGUGCCAGCAGCCGCCGUAA